rnacentral:lncRNA from 1 species
UAUAUAUUGAGAGAGAGAGAGGCUAGAACAUUCUAUGCUUCCUCCCCACGAAAUCCAGAAUUCAUUUUCAAAUAAAAGUUCAGAAAAAUGGAGGGCUUUGGAUCAAAAUUCCUUCAUCCAACGGUCCCCAUUUUACUAACCUUUUAUCUAAUAGAUCCGAAUUUUCUCCAAGAGGAAUGAAAAACAAGUAGAAAUCUGGAUGAAAUCACUUUGUUGCCAGAGUUUGUUAGGGUUUGGUGACGUAGAAGUUGGUGACGUAGAAGAAGGAGAAGAGAGAAGGGGGGCCAUGGGGGGACCAAUGGGUGAACUCUCCGGGUUUGGGACGAGUUCCGGCGAGUUUUGAAGGUGGAGACGCGACAGGGGCGGAGAGGGGCUGGGCGGUUGGUUUGAUUUUAGGGUUAGAGGUUUGGGAUGUUGGGGUGUAUUUGGAGUGUGGAGGAAAUAAUGUGGCCCAUUGGAUUAUUUGGGAUGGAAGGCUAAGAUUUAAAGGGGAAAUGGG